rnacentral:tRNA from 1 species
ACUCUCUUAGUAUAAAAAGUACAGCUGACUUCCAAUCAGUUAGAUCUAGUAAAAUCUAGAAGAAAGUA